rnacentral:rRNA from 1 species
AUUGAACGCUGGCGGCAGGCCUAACACAUGCAAGUCGAGCGAGCGGCGGACGGGUGAGUAAUGUAUGGGGACUGCCCGAUAGAGGGGGAUAACUACUGGAAACGGUAGCUAAUACCGCAUACUAUCGGAUAACCCAUAUGGGAUUAGCUCGUAGGUGAGGUAAUGGCCUACCUAGGCGACGAUCCCGAGCUUGUCUUCGAGGAUGAUCAGCCACACUGGGACUGAGACACGGCCCAGACUCCUACGGAGGCAGCAGUGGGGAAUAGUGCACAAUGGGCGCAAGCCUGAUGCAGCCAUGCCGCGUGUAUGAAGAAGGCCCUAGGGUUGGAAAGUACUUGCAGUCGGGAAGCGGUACCGAAAGAAGAAGCCCCGGCUAACUCCGUGCCAGCAGCCGCGGUAAUUC